rnacentral:pre_miRNA from 13 species
UAACUCCUCAAAGGGUUGUGAAAUGUCGACUAUUAUCUACUCAUAUCACAGCCAUUUUGAUGAGUUUCG